rnacentral:rRNA from 1 species
UACGUAGGGUGCAAGCGUUGUCCGGAAUUAUUGGGCGUAAAGAGCUCGUAGGCGGUUUGUCGCGUCUGCCGUGAAAGUCCGGGGCUCAACUCCGGAUCUGCGGUGGGUACGGGCAGACUAGAGUGCAGUAGGGGAGACUGGAAUUCCUGGUGUAGCGGUGAAAUGCGCAGAUAUCAGGAGGAACACCGAUGGCGAAGGCAGGUCUCUGGGCUGUAACUGACGUGAGGAGCGAAAAGCAUGGGGGAGCGAACAGG